AGUUGAAGUGCUCUGGCAUGAAGAGUCUUGUGACAUUACUCAGCAACAUAUUAUUCACUUUUUUUGAAGGUCAAUUAUACUUUUUGCCAUCGAUUGCAUAGUUUUUUAUCUGUGAAAGAACAACAUAAAAUAUGAAAACUAACUUGAAGCUCGGUCUUUUUUUAACGUGUGUUACACAUUAAGUCAUAUCAAAUACAAAUGUGCGGUAAAAUUUUAAAUAGUGGCAUAAAUGACUUAUCUUCUGGGCCCGAAAUUUUUCAAAUGGCUGAUCCUCAAGUGUUACCGGUAACAAGUCUGACUUCUUAGUGAAUAUAUUUUACUUAACACACAAAUGUUUUCAUUGCAAUGUGUUUCGGAGUACAAAAAUGUUUCCUUUGUCAUCUGAAUCCAUGUAAGAAAGCACAGGGUACAAUUUAAAAAAAAGGAAAGAAAGAAAGAAAGAAAAAAAACUAUUGAGCUUGCAAAAGUAUAACAGAUACCUCUGUAUCACAUUCAGCAUUUGUAAAAACAUGAUUUUCUGGAACUAUGUGAUUAAUUUAUAUCAGCUGAUACAAUCUGAUAGCAAUACAAAGAUUUUGUACUUAAAAUGUGUCAUUCAAAUAUCUCUGCACACAUUAUUUGCUGUCUGAAUAAAAGAUAAGUAUACUUUGCUUUUUGGCCCCAUUUUGUACUUGUAAGCAAGUAUUUAAAACAAACUUUACUCAUAGCAUGAUUACAAAAAGUAGUCUAGAAUUCUAUGUAGUGUAUGCCUCAGGAGAAAAACUGAAAUGUAUUUGUGGUACCAAAGAGGAAACAAGAUUAACAGGUUAGCAGCAGGACUCAAAGGAUCAAUGACGACUUCAAGUGACCAGGCAAUUAUAUUUAAAUAAAGAUAACCUACUGGUAUGAAUGGCAAAUAAUAUGUGUAAAAUUUGUUAAAGAUGUCGGACUACCUGCAUCCUUCAAGUGUUCCCAUCAGAGGCAUCUAGCAUCUUCCUAUCAAAUCUAUUUCUUUUAAUAAUCAUAAGUACUAAAUUAUCUGACUGAAUAUUUUUGUGAACUAGAAACUAAAACUAAGCACACGACAAUUAAUCUUGUAAAUGGGAAGGUCUCAGUGCAUUACAUAUGUUUCUCUUUCGAAAGCUUUAAUGGUUUGCUGUACUUGUUGCAAACAUAUUUCAUCAUGUUUCACAAUUAUAAGCUGUUGCCCUGUAGGCAAAACUGCUUCCCUUUACAAAGGUAAUUCAUGAACCCACUU